AUGGACAAAUCUGGUACCUCUGCUUACUCCUUCAAAAAUGGCAUAUUGAGAUUUCAUAACAAGAUUGUAGUGGGAUCUGCUACUACUCUGAGACAAGAAAUCCUCCAAACAUUUCAUAGCUCAGAGUUGGGUGGCCAUUCUGGGGAGAGGGCUACGUACCAGAGAGUGAAGUUAAUUUUUCACCGGCAGGGUUUAAAACAAGAUGUAGUGCAGUUCGUAAAGCAAUGCCCUGUUUGUCAGUUGAACAAAGCUGAGCACACUCCUUAUCCUGGAUUAUUGGAACCACUUCCUGUGCCUGAUUUUGCUUGGGCCCAUGUGAGCAUGGAUUUUGUGGAAGGGCUGCCUAAGUCUGAACACAAGAAUUUGAUUCUAGUAGUGGUUGACAGAUUCACCAAGUACUCCCACUUCAUUGCUAUGAAACAUCCAAUUACAGUACAAUCUGUUGCAAGAGCAUUUGCUGAUAAUGUGUUCAGGUUGCAUGGAAUGCCCCUAGUAAUUGUCACUGACAGAGACAAAAUUUUUACUAGUCAUCUUUGGCAACAACUGUUCAAGUCCUUGAAAAUCAAGUUGCAUUUGAGCACCAGUUACCACCCUCAAACUGAUGGUCAAACGGAAAGGGUCAACCAGUGUUUGGAGAAUUACUUAAGAUGCAUGUGUUUCCAACAAACCAGGAAGUGGCAUGGGUGGCUAUCCCUAGCUGAGUGGUGGUACAACACCUCCUUCCACACAUCACUUAAGAUGACACCCUUUCAGGCCCUAUAUGGUUUUCCUCCCCCCAUGAUUGCUGAAUCUGCCUUGCCUGAUGCAAUUUGUGAGGACAAUGAGGAUCUAUUGCAUAACAGAGAAGUGGCACUGGAGGUGAUCAAGCACAAUCUGAUAAAAGCUCAAUCUAGAAUGAAGUUCUUUGCAGAUAAAAAGAGGAAAGAAAGAGAAUUUGUAGUGGGUGACAUGGUCUAUUUGAAGCUGCAACCCUACAGACAUAAUUCUCUCAGCCUGCAUAGGCACAUGAAGCUGCAUUCUAAGUUCUAUGGCCCUUUCAGAGUAAUGGAAAGAAUUGGAAAUCAUGCUUAUAAAUUACUCUUGCCUGAGGGUUGUCAGCUGCAUGACACAUUUCAUGUCAGCCAGCUUAAAAAGCACAUAGGACCAACAGUUGUCCCUUCCCCUAUACUACCACUAGUUGGUCCUGAUGGAAUCAUCAAGGUGGAGCCUGAAGCUGUGCUGGAAAGAACCCUGGUUCCAAGGAAGCAAGGAAACAUCAGUAUUCCUGUCGUUCGGUGGCUAGUCAAAUGGACCAACAUGCCUGUGGAAGAAGCUACUUGGGAAGACUCUGCAUUCAUUCAGAAGGUUUUUCCGUCUUUUAGAGCUUGA
rnacentral:rRNA from 1 species